rnacentral:rRNA from 1 species
UACGGGAGUGGCAAGCGUUAUCCGGAAUUAUUGGGCGUAAAGCGUCCGCAGGCGGUCUUGUAAGUCUGUUGUUAAAGCGUGGAGCUUAACUCCAUUUCAGCAAUGGAAACUGUAAGACUAGAGUGUGGUAGGGGCAGAGGGAAUUCCCGGUGUAGCGGUGAAAUGCGUAGAUAUCGGGAAGAACACCAGUGGCGAAGGCGCUCUGCUGGGCCAUAACUGACGCUCAUGGACGAAAGCCAGGGGAGCGAAAGGGAUUAGAUACCCCUGUAGUCCUGGCCGUAAACGAUGAACACUAGGUGUCGGGGGAAUCGACCCCCUCGGUGUCGUAGCCAACGCGUUAAGUGUUCCGCCUGGGGAGUACGCACGCAAGUGUGAAACUCAAAGGAAUUGACGGGGGCCCGCACAAGCGGUGGAGUAUGUGGUUUAAUUCGAUGCAACGCGAAGAACCUUACCAGGGUUUGACAUCCUGCGAAUCUCUUGGAAACGAGAGAGUGCCUUCGGGAACGCAGUGACAGGUGGUGCAUGGCUGUCGUCAGCUCGUGUCGUGAGAUGUUGGGUUAAGUCCCGCAACGAGCGCAACCCACGUCGUUAGUUGCCAGCAUUUAGUUGGGCACUCUAGCGAGACCGCCGGUGAUAAACCGGAGGAAGGUGUGGAUGACGUCAAGUCAUCAUGCCCUUUACAUCCUGGGCUACACACGUACUACAAUGCUACGGACAAAGGGCAGCAAACUCGCGAGAGCUAGCAAAUCCCAUAAACCGUGGCUCAGUUCAGAUCGUAGGCUGCAACUCGCCUACGUGAAGGAGGAAUCGCUAGUAAUCGCAGGUCAGCAUACUGCGGUGAAUACGUUCCCGGGCCU